rnacentral:tRNA from 2 species
GCCGGGGUAGCCAAGCCAGGAUAAGGCGCGGGCCUUGAGAGCCCGUGGCCCCUCGGGGCCGCGCGGGUUCAAAUCCCGCCCCCGGCG